UGUUUUAAUCUCAGUUAUGAGUAGUAGCCAUCUCACAGCCUCCAUGAGGUUAAAUAAGGUGAGGGGAAAUCGUGUCCCUUUAUUCAAUAGCAAGUCAUCAUUGUCCCCAAAGCGUCCCACGACAAUCAGAUGCCAAUGUUCUCAGAUCUCAGGAUAGUCUGAGUCUCUCAUGAGUCAUCCAGUAGAACAACGGAGAGAGGACAGGAUGGACCCACAAAAGGCACAAACAACUCAUGUUCACUGCCUCUCUUUUGUUUCUUCUUCCAAGCUGGCCUCAAAUGUGCACUCCUUCUGUCUGGGGUGAUAGGCAUGCACCACCUUCCUGGACAAUUCACCUCUUCUUGGCUCCACUGGCCCUCUCUGGGGCUCAGCCAGAAGCCGCAGGAAUGGCCAAACCCUGACAAAGCCCCAGGACAGAGGAAGGCUUUGCUCCCUCUGACAGCUGACAGGUGUCUGAGGCCUAGGUUCUGGCUCCUUUAAGAGCUUGCCCUUUCCUGCUGGUCCAGGCAGGGAGAUGGAUGAUGGUCUGAGGAGGAGGGAUGAGAGCUGGAAGAAGAAUUGAUUGUAGAGCAGACCAGUUGGCAAAAUCUCUGGCAGAUCAAUGGAGACCAUCUGCACAGUGGGCUGCACUUAGGGACUAAGUCCUGAGCACCUGGAUUCUGGGCCUGGUACCUCCCGCCCUACCCCUGCACAAGGGAGCAGUGCUGUCCCCAGUCCUUUCCCUGAUUCUAGAAAAGCCCAGAAGCCCUUCCCAUAGAGCCCACAAGAAAUGAGGCCCUCUGCUCCAGACCUGAGAGUGUGGGUAGCUACGAUGCAGAGUCUGGUAGCUUAAGGGGUGUUCCUGCUCACUUUGGGCAGGAUUGUGAGGGGGUCCUCAUAGUGUAUUGUCUAGCUAGGAUUCAGUGUUCUGCGCCACCAGGCAGGAUGGUGAGGGCUUCCUCAGACUGUAGUGUCUGCAGGCAGACACCUUCUGGAUGUCUAUAGACAUGCCAUUGCUAGGGUCUGUGAACACUCCUAGGUCUCCGUAGAGGUGGGGUUACAUCCAGCUACCUCACCAGCUCCUCCUCCGGAGAUGUGUGUGGAUCAUUACAUAAUCCCCAAAGUGGGGUAGCAUUUUGCCCAUCAGACUGGGGGUCCCUAACUAAGGGCAGUGUCUCAUAAAGAGGAACAAUCUUCAGCACCCCGCCCCCCUUUUCAGAGGUGCUCGGCCUGAAUCUUCUAACAUCAGUGCCCUGGCCAAGAUCAGAGCUGGAGAGGAUCAGGGACAGUUACCCCAGGGCCCUCUCCUGUGGGAUAAACUCACUGGCUCCUUCUACUGGCAGGCAAGCCAGAUGUGUAGCUAUGAAGGCAGCCCAACACACAAAGCCACCAACUUACUCAAGACACUGGGAGAUUUUUCUUUUUUUUUUUUUUUGUUCUUUUUGUAACUUGAUUGGUGAGUUCUACAGCAUGAACUGUGUAGGUGACAAUGUCAUGUCACUGUGUUAAACAUUGGACACUCCUGCUAAGGUCUCUCACUUUGCCUGUCAUCAUUGUGGCCCUCGCUGUGGGGUCUUCUGCUCAGGGCCGGUGUGCUAAUUCUUCUGUCACUUGAGGGUCCUCGCCUAAUGACUUUUCGCUGGAGUAUCAGGAGCUUCAGAAGCUGGGAACAAGGUUGCUCUCAGCCUGGCUGGGAGCCCUGCUUUAGAGAGCCAUACUUCCAGAUAUGCCAACUACAGGCAUGCAUGAGCACAAUAGUUUUGAACAAAGACAAAAUGAGUCUUCGUAUGGGGGAGGGCAGACUGGGGAAGGGUAGCAGGCUGGGAACAUCAGGGGUUAGAACUGAGAUGUGUCUUUUCUAGGAGUUAAAGAGCUAUGUGAUUCCAGCAAGGCACAGAGGCUGGAUGUUCUGUGGCUUGGGGUUCUGACUCCUCUGUGCAGACCUUCUUGAAGGCACUUUGAGGUGGGGACGGAAGGAUUACAAAAUACCUCUGCCAUAUAAUUCAUCCAUGAUGGCUUCCCUCCACGGGCUCAUAAAAGGAGUUUUAUCAUUCCUAAAAGCCUACCUUAUAAAAGGCAAAUGCCCUGUAAAGUGGUCAUGCCUGGAGUUCAUUACCAGCCAACACCCCGAUUAGGAUCAUUUCAGUAGGAAUUAGGUGGCACCCAGAAAUCUGACCUUAAUAGUUUACAUGUGUGCAUGUGGGUAUGUGCAUGUGACGUGUAUUUGGGUAUGUAUGUGCAUGCAUUUGAGUUGAGGGCAGGGGAAUUUUUUUAUUCAUGCAACAAAUAUUGAUAAAACACUAAUAGAAUGUCAAAUGGUAGUCUUGGCUCUGUGGGAUUGGAGAAUGAACAAAGAAACAAAACACCUCUGUCCCCAGGGAGCUUAUUUUCUUUCAAGGUAGAAGGGCAAGAGAGACAGUAGAGCUAGAGGUGAGGGUGAGCCAGUCAGAUGGCAGUGAGUACUACAGAGAAAUGCAGCGGGGAGGGGGAGGGUGGAAGAGGUGUCAGCUCUCUGGCGGGGCUUGGCUAUGGGGAAGCACAAGUCUGUGACGGCCAGUGCCAGGGCGAGAAGAAGGCCAGACACCAUCUCCUACUUUUUUACGGUUUCCAAUAACGCUGCUGUCUUCUGAGUAUGUCAAGAGACUGAUGAAUUCAUUCACUCAACCUGAAUACGUGAUCAUGAUUUCGUUCAACCCUGGUGACCUGAUCAUCUCCGGAAACACCGUCACGGACAUCCAUGGAGAUGAAUAUGGCGAACAGGCAACUCUGGGCAAGUGAGAUGGAACGCUACCGUUUGCAGCACUUGGGCCAACUUUAAGCCCUCGACUGAACAUCAGUCAGCUCCAAACCCUGCAAACCCUGCAAUGGACUCGCACAUCCAUCUGGCUCCAGCAUAUCACCAUAGCAGCGCCCCUUCCUCCUCACUUCUUCCCGAAGCCCCCUUCCCUGUCACCCUCCUGCCUUCUCACUUCUCAUCUUUGGUUAAACUAGGUUCACAUAAAUGGC